CCUACGGGGGGCUGCAGUGGGGAAUAUUGGACAAUGGGCGAAAGCCUGAUCCAGCCAUGCCGCGUGUGUGAAGAAGGCCUUCGGGUUGUAAAGCACUUUCAGUGGGGAAGAAAGCCUUGGGGCUAAUACCCUCGAGGAAGGACAUCACCCACAGAAGAAGCACCGGCUAACUCCGUGCCAGCAGCCGCGGUAAUACGGAGGGUGCGAGCGUUAAUCGGAAUUACUGGGCGUAAAGCGCGCGUAGGCGGUCUGAUAAGCCGGUUGUGAAAGCCCCGGGCUCAACCUGGGAACGGCAUCCGGAACGGUCAGGCUAGAGUGCAGGAGAGGAAGGUAGAAUUCCCGGUGUAGCGGUGAAAUGCGUAGAGAUCGGGAGGAAUACCAGUGGCGAAGGCGGCCUUCUGGACUGACACUGACGCUGAGGUGCGAAAGCGUGGGUAGCAAACAGGAUUAGAUACCCCGGUAGUC
rnacentral:rRNA from 1 species